GGAGAAGGAAAGUCGCUCAAGCAGUGGACAGAGCGGAGAAAGCGACUUCGGGUUGGUUGAAGGUUCAGCCUGAGAAAACUCCUGAGCAUGUGCGAAAAAGAAAAGAAGAAAAGAAAAGUAAAGAAAAGAAAAAAGGAAAAAGGGCAAGCUCCUGAGUGGAUCUCUCAGGGAGCCACCAGACAGCCGCAGAGAGAAGAAGCUGCCCAAGAAUGGAAAGGAAGAAAUAUAUCACAUCAUCUGUCUGUCCACAGGCUUUCCUUGGGGCUUAUGAAGUGAAUGAAGGAGGGAAGAAAGGAGAGACAGAGAAAAUAUGGAUGAAAUGAUCCUAUAUCUAGAAAACCUCAUUGUCUCAGCCCAAAAGCUUCUUAAGCUGAUAAACAACUUCAGUCAAAUCUCAGGAUACAAAAUCAAUGUGCAAAAAUUGCUAGCAUUCCUAUACACCACCAACAGGCAACCAGAGAGCCAAAUCAUGAAUGAACUCCCAUUCGCAAUUGCUACAACAACAAAAAACACCUAGGAUACAGCUAACGAGGGAAGUAAAGAACCUCUUCAAGGAGAACUACAAACCACUGCUCAAAGAAAUCAGAGAGGACACAAACAAAUGGAAAAACAUUUCAUGCUCAUGAUAGGAAGAAUCAAUAUCAUAAAAAUGGCCACACUGCCCAAAGUAAUUUGUAGAUUCAAUGCUAUUCCCGUUAAAAUACUAUUGACAUUCUUCACAGAAUUAGAAAAAACUAUCUCAAAAUUCAUAUGGAAUCAAAAAGGGCCCAAAUAGCCAAGACAAUCCUAAGCAAAAAGAACAAAGCUGGAGGCAUCAUGCUAUCUGACUUCAAACUGUACUACAAGGCUACGGUAACCAAAACAGCAUGGUGUUGGUACAAGAACAAACACAUUGACCAAUGGAACAGAAUACAGAACUCAGAAAUAAGACCACACACCUACAAUCAUCUGAUCUUCAACAAACCUGACAAAAGCAAGCAAUGGGAAAAAGAUUCCCUAUUUAAUAAAUGGUGCUGGGAGAAUUGGCUACCCAUAUGCAGAAAGUUGAAACUGGACCCUUUUCUUACACCAUACAAAAAAAUUAAUUCAAGAUGGAUUAAAGACUUAAAUGUAAAACCCAAAACUAUAAAAACCUAGAAAAAAAUCUAGGCAAUACCAUUCAUGACAUAGGUAUGGUCGAGGAUUUCAUGAUGAAAUGCCAAAAGCAAUUGCAACAAAAGUCAAAAUUGACAAAUGGGAUCUAAUUAAACUAAUGAGCUUCUGCACAGUGAAAGAAACUAUCAUCAGAGUGAAGAGACAACCUAUAGAAUGGGAGACAAUUUUUGUAAUCUAUCCAUCUGACAAAGGUCUAAUGUCCAGAGUCUACAAAGAACUUCAACAAAUUCACAAG
rnacentral:lncRNA from 1 species